rnacentral:rRNA from 1 species
CCUACGGGGGCUGCAGUGGGGAAUAUUGGACAAUGGGCGAAAGCCUGAUCCAGCCAUGCCGCGUGUGUGAAGAAGGCCUUCGGGUUGUAAAGCACUUUCAGUGGGAAAGAAAGCCUUGGGGCUAAUACCCUCGAGGAAGGACAUCACCCACAGAAGAAGCACCGGCUAACUCCGUGCCAGCAGCCGCGGUAAUACGGAGGGUGCGAGCGUUAAUCGGAAUUACUGGGCGUAAAGCGCGCGUAGGCGGUCUGAUAAGCCGGUUGUGAAAGCCCCGGGCUCAACCUGGGAACGGCAUCCGGAACUGUCAGGCUAGAGUGCAGGAGAGGAAGGUAGAAUUCCCGGUGUAGCGGUGAAAUGCGUAGAGAUCGGGAGGAAUACCAGUGGCGAAGGCGGCCUUCUGGACUGACACUGACGCUGAGGUGCGAAAGCGUGGGUAGCAAACAGGAUUAGAUACCCGAGUAGUC